rnacentral:lncRNA from 1 species
CACCAUGUUUUUAACAAGCAGUCAUCCUCUCCCAGCACUCCAUAUUUACAGAUAAAGAAAGCACAAACUAACAAGAGCCAGACAUCACAAAACCUGACCAACAAGUGGCAGUUGCUUAUUACUCUAGCUAGGGUAAUUACCUAGAAACAUGAACCACAAAACUGAAGUCUAGUGUAGAGACAGUAGUAGCAGAGCAGGGCCAUAAUCAUAUACAGUAAUUAAUCUCUCUGUAGUGUGGUGGUAAUUUUUGGUGUCUGUCCUAGAUGAUGAAGAUGAUUUUAAGCNNNNN